AGCAGGAGCUGGGUCGGUGGCUGGAUGCUGCAGCUGCAGGGACUCAGCGCCUGGGAGGGCUCCUGGGCAGGGAGAGAAGCAGAGAUGCAACAUUUUUAAAGUUUCACAAAGCAUCCGGCUGCACCCAGGACCCUGUUAUCGAACUUUGUGGGAAAUACCAAGUUCCAGAAGAUUGAAUACAUGCAGGAAACAAAUGCUUUUUGGGCCCUAGAGUGAACAUUUGGUCCAUAUGACAAUGACCAGAAAGACUAUUAGGUGAAGGUUUUUUAAUGAUUUGUGCUACAUUAGUCUCUUCCCAUAAGACAUAUUCAAAGUUUUAACUUUUCCUUAAGAGGCUUCCAUGGGGAGCAAGCAUUUGAUAAUUCAUCCUUUAACUAAGAAAAACACCAUCACACACUGCUUGAAGAAUUCCUCUUCUAUUACUUAAAAUGUUUUUACUGUGUAACAUUUAAGGCAUACAAAAACAUAUAAAGAAUACCAUGAUGAAAGUCUAUGACUAUAUUAUCAAGCUUAAGAAAUAAAACAGUUGAGUCAUCUUUCAUUUAUGACUAAAUUAACUUAUUAAAACCAUUAAAACUUUUGGAUUACUACUCUUAAGAUAUUUUCUUAGGGAGAAGUUUAGCAGGGACAUCUAUCAAUUUUCCUAAUCCAAAAGAGCUAAUUCCUAGAUAUUGUAUGUUUGGUCUACAUUUUUUUCCUCUUGGAACUUCUAACAUUUUUUACUGUUCUUCUUUUUUUAAAUUGUACUAACAAAGACAUUGCAUAUUGCAAAUCCACAUAUAUAAUUUAUCAGAGGUUAUAAUUAGAGGAUAUUUCUUUUUUUUUUUUUUUCUUUUUUGAGACAGGGUCUCACUCUGUCUCCCAGGCUGGAGUGCAGUGGUGCAAUGAUGGUUCACUGCAGCCUUGACCUCCUGGGCUUGAGCAAACCUCCUGCCUUGGCCUCCCAAAGUGCUGGGAUUACAGGCAUCGUGAACUGCCACACCUUGUCAGAGGAUACUUCCGUAUCAAAAAUCAAAUAUAAUAUAAUGUCAUCAUUUGCAAAUAACUAUAGAAGAUUUUAAUGUUUAUUUAGCUUGACCUUUGAGGAUUCUAGUUCCUGAUUUAUUUAUCAUACUUGUUUUAAUCACACCAGGGAUAAUGAUCAAACAUUGAAUAACUUUUAUUUGUAAGAUUUCUUAGCAACAGAUCAUAGUACAUGUAUAUAGUAAAUGAAUAUAUCAACAUUUUUUCUGCGCUAUUUCAAAGUUUCGGUAAUUUUACUUCAUAAAGAAAUCUAAAAAUACUAAACCAGUCAUCUUAAAUAUAUUGCCACUGAAGCCCAAUAUCCACCUACUGUCUGAAUUUGGAGAGAGUAUGUCUAAUGUUAGAUGCUAAACAUUGUGAGAAUCCUCUCAGACACUGGUUUCAGAUAGCUGUCACCCAUAGAACUAAGGGCUAGAAAGUUAUUCAUCUUUAUGGUAUAAUUUUAGUUCAAUCUAAAAAAAAUUUACUGAGCGUCUACAAUGUUCUAGGCCCUGAGCCAGGUGCUGGGACAGAGGUGAGCCAUUCAUUAGUCCUCCCCAUGAGUCUCUUUAGCUGGAGAACCACUCUUUGUCUAGAGUAUGUGAUUUUGCACUUAACCUCUCUAGAGUCUAUGGUGUGUGAGAUGAACAGUGUAACAUUGUUUUGCAUAGAGAGGAUACUGUAGACAGAACCCAAUGAUGGAGCCUUAAGUAAAGAGUAUAAUUUGGGUGUGGUUGGUAGAAUCACUAUAAUGUAAUGUGACUUAAACCUCAGACAUCAAUUGUUAUUUUGGUACUUUAAAUAUAACUGAUGUUUUAUUCCUAUGACUAUACUAUUUAGAUAUUUAAAUAUUGAAAAACUGAUCACAAAGAUACUAUAAUACUUUUACACAUGUGUAUACAUAUGUAUAUAUGUAUGUCAAUGUAUAUUUUACUAUUGGCAUUAGUAAUUAUUUUCCCUUUGUGCAGUUUCUUUUAGAGUACUUCUGUCUUUUCCCCCUACCCCAAUAGUACCGUGAUAUUGUAUUAUUAACCGAGCUAUAGCAAGUCAUAAUGAUCACUUGAAAUCAUUUAUUAAAUAAAUGAGGUAAAGAUGUA